rnacentral:tRNA from 1 species
UGCGGAAUAGAGCAGUUCGGUAGCUCGUCAGGUUCAUGACUUGAAGGUCAUAGGUUCAAAUCCUAUUUCCGCAA